rnacentral:rRNA from 1 species
CCUACGGGUGGCAGCAGUGGGGAAUAUUGGACAAUGGGGGCAACCCUGAUCCAGCAAUGCCGCGUGUAUGAAGAAGGCCUGCGGGUUGUAAAGUACUUUCAGUAGCGAGGAAAAGCUUAAGGUUAAUACCCUUGAGUCUUGACGUUAACUACAGAAGAAGCACCGGCUAACUACGUGCCAGCAGCCGCGGUAAUACGUAGGUGGCAAGCGUUAUCCGGAAUUACUGGGUGUAAAGAGCAUGUAGGCGGGAAAAUAAGUCAGAUGUUAAAUCUUGAGGCUCAACCUCAAGCAGCAUCUGAAACUGUUUUUCUUGAGUACUGGAGAGGAAAGUGGAAUUCCUAGUGUAGCGGUGAAAUGCGUAGAUAUUAGGAGGAACACCAGUGGCGAAGGCGGCUUUCUGGACAGUAACUGACGCUGAGAUGCGAAAGUGUGGGUAGCAA